GUCGAGUCUUUAGUCUGCGCGCGACACUUGCCCGAGUUACGUCGCGUCACUCCGCGUCCUCCGCGAGAAAAAAAGCGCGAGCGACCACGAGGGGAACACGUCUCGCCGUUCAGCAGCCAACUCUCCCAACUGUGAAUCAAGCAAGAACUCGUGAAACUUUCAAGACUCUCAAGAGAUUCCAUAAAAACCUAGAAAACAAGUGGCACUUCGUUUUAAAGUUCCAUUGUAACUGGUGAAGAAACCUGCGGGAAGAAUAGUUUUCCAGUCCCUUUGACGAUUGUGGAUGCCUCAUAAAAAAUUGAAAAGUGUUGAAAGUUCUAUACCUCAUUUAUAGUGUUUUGUUGAAUUAUUCUUGUGGACUGAAGGGAUGCAAGUAGAAAUAGUCAGUAUUUGUCGGACAGAGUGAAGGGUAGAAAAAUUUGAAGGAUGUUUUCGAAUAAAAAUGCAAAUCGAUUAUUAAAUAAAUUUAGCAACUGUGAGACGGUGGACUAGUGGAUUUUUAAUGGUUGAUGUGGUUUCAUUGAGUGAAUACUUGGUUGCCGGGGAAGGGGAGCUGAAAGGGAAGAGGUCUAAUUGAUGACGGCUCUUUGUACUUGUGAUUUUCCUUGUUCACAAAGCGUUCGAACACCCAUUCCAAUGAUUCGAAUCUACCUCUCGUCGAAAGAGUACUCACACUCGGUUUCAAUAUGAUUUGGCGAGCUGCGAUCUUCAACUCGCACGAGACUCGUCAAAAGCAGUUCGGAAUAGAAAGAAACGAUCCGAAGUGGUUCCAUCAGUCGUUCAGAAAAUUGCUGCAAUUUUCUACCAUCGCCAGCUCGAAACAUCUGGUGAUGAGGGAGGAGAGCGCCAGCCGGCCGGAUCCUCUUAGAUUGAUCAACGGUGCUGAUAGAGGCAGAGAAAAGAUCGUCGUGAAAGCGGCCUGAAGAGGAGGGUGGAGAAUGAGAAUCGUGUCAAGAUCGAGCGUCGAGUGAAGAGGGGGAGUAUGGAGUAGCGGUGUACUGUUCCAGUGGCCCGGAUUUCUCAGGCCUUUAACAGGAGACCAUGGAUAAAUACGGAGUCGAACUGCCUAAGCACGAGUGGAGCCACAGGCUCAGCCUUCGUGCCAGUCGAAGAAGUC